rnacentral:rRNA from 1 species
AUUGAACGCUGGCGGCAUGCCUUACACAUGCAAGUCGAACGGUAACAGGUCUUCGGAUGCUGACGAGUGGCGAACGGGUGAGUAAUGCAUCGGAACGUGCCCAGUAGUGGGGGAUAGCCCGGCGAAAGCCGGAUUAAUACCGCAUACGACCUGAGGGUGAAAGGGGGGGAUCGCAAGACCUCUCGCUAUUGGAGCGGCCGAUGUCAGAUUAGCUAGUUGGUGGGGUAAAGGCCUACCAAGGCAACGAUCUGUAGUUGGUCUGAGAGGACGACCAGCCACACUGGGACUGAGACACGGCCCAGACGCCUACGGGAGGCAGCAGUGGGGAAUUUUGGACAAUGGACGCAAGUCUGAUCCAGCCAUGCCGCGUGCGGGAAGAAGGCCUUCGGGUUGUAAACCGCUUUUGUCAGGGAAGAAACGCUCUGGGUUAAUACCUCGGGGUAAUGACGGUACCUGAAGAAUAAGCACCGGCUAACUACGUGCCAGCAGCCGCCGCGGUAA